AGCGAACGCUGGCGGCAGGCCUAACACAUGCAAGUCGAACGAAGCCUUCGGGCUUAGUGGCGGACGGGUGAGUAACACGUGGGAACGUACCUUUUGGUUCGGAACAACUCAGGGAAACUUGAGCUAAUACCGGAUGAGCCCUUAGGGGGAAAGAUUUAUCGCCGAAAGAGCGGCCCGCGUUAGAUUAGCUAGUUGGUGAGGUAAAGGCUCACCAAGGCAACGAUCUAUAGCUGGUCUGAGAGGAUGAUCAGCCACACUGGGACUGAGACACGGCCCAGACUGCUACGGGUGGCAGACGUGGGGAAUCUUGCGCAAUGGGCGAAAGCCUGACGCAGCCAUGCCGCGUGAAUGAUGAAGGUCUUAGGAUUGUAAAAUUCUUUUACCAGGGACGAUAAUGACGGUACCUGGAGAAAAAGCCCCGGCUAACUUCGUGCCAGCCGCCGCGGUAAUAC
rnacentral:rRNA from 1 species